UACGAAGGGGGCUAGCGUUGCUCGGAAUCACUGGGCGUAAAGCGCACGUAGGCGGAUUGCUAAGUCAGGGGUGAAAUCCUGGAGCUCAACUCCAGAACUGCCCUUGAUACUGGCGGUCUCGAGUCCGGGAGAGGUGAGUGGAACUGCGAGUGUAGAGGUGAAAUUCGUAGAUAUUCGCAAGAACACCAGUGGCGAAGGCGGCUCACUGGCCCGGUACUGACGCUGAGGUGCGGAAAGCGUGGGGAGCAACAGG
rnacentral:rRNA from 1 species